ensembl:lncRNA
GGCCUUUCUAUUCCCGAGCGUCGCCGCCCCUGAAAAAGCGCUUUGUAAAAGCUGGUUUGUACAUCCCGGGUCCCGUAGGCACCUCCAUAUCUACCCCUCACCACUGGAUGUCGCCCUCUUUCGUUUGCGAUAAAUUACGAGAAUGGACGAUGAGAGACUGGUCGUCAAGGUGGAAAAAUACGUCGAAUUGUAUGACCAAAGUACCCGUCAUUACAAAGACAACUCCAAAAAGGUCAUUGCCUGGCGAGCCAUAGCUCUGGAGAUUGGAUCUUCAGAAAACUGCAGAACUGAAAGUGGAUAAAGAGUUAACUGAAUUGGAUAAUCGUAUACAUGUGGCG